AAAGGAAUUGACGGGUCCCCGCACAAGCAGCGGAGCGUGUGGUUUAAUUCGAUGCUACACGAAGAACCUUACCUGGGUUUGACAUAGAGGUAGUAGGGAAGCGAAAGCGGACCGACCUUCGGGAGCCUCUACAGGUGUUGCAUGGCUGUCGUCAGCUCGUGUCCGUGAGAUGUUCGGUUAAGUCCGCUUAACGAGCGCAACCCUCGCCUGUGUGUUACAAGUGUCACACGGUACUGCCGAUAUUAAGUCGGAGGAAGGUGGGGAUGACGUCAAGUCAGCAUGACCUUUAUAUCCAGGGCUACACACACGCUACAAUGGCCAGUACAAUGGGUUGCCAAGCCGCGAGGCGGAGCCAAUCCUAAAAAGCUGGCCUCAGUUCAGAUUGCAGUCUGCAACUCGACUGCAUGAAGUUGGAGUUGCUAGUAACCGCAGGUCAGCAAUACUGCGGUGAAUACGUUCCCGGGAUU
rnacentral:rRNA from 1 species